GACGAACGCUGGCGGCGUGCUUAACACAUGCAAGUCGAACGGAAAGGCCCUGCUUUUGUGGGGUGCUCGAGUGGCGAACGGGUGAGUAACACGUGAGUAACCUGCCCUUGACUUUGGGAUAACUUCAGGAAACUGGGGCUAAUACCGGAUAGGAGCUCCUGCUGCAUGGUGAGGGUUGGAAAGUUUCGGCGGUUGGGGAUGGACUCGCGGCUUAUCAGCUUGUUGGUGGGGUAGUGGCUUACCAAGGCUUUGACGGGUAGCCGGCCUGAGAGGGUGACCGGCCACAUUGGGACUGAGAUACGGCCCAGACUCAUACGGGAGGCAGCAGUGGGGAAUAUUGCACAAUGGGCGGAAGCCUGAUGCAGCAACGCCGCGUGCGGGAUGACGGCCUUCGGGUUGUAAACCGCUUUCGCCUGUGACGAAGCGUGAGGGACGGUAAUGGGUAAAGAAGCACCGGCUAACUACGU
rnacentral:rRNA from 1 species